rnacentral:rRNA from 1 species
UCGAGGGAUCAUUUGCAAUGGGCGAAAGCCUGACAAUGCGACGCUGCGUGGAGGAUGAAGGCCUUCGGGUUGUAAACUCCUGUCAUAAGGGAACAGGCGAGGGUACCCAAUACGUACCUUAGUUGAGUGUACUUUAAGAGGAAGCGACGGCUAACUCUGUGCCAGCAGCCGCGGUAAUACAGAGGUCGCAAGCGUUGUUCGGAUUUACUGGGCGUAAAGGGCGCGUAGGCGGUUACGUGUGUCAAGUGUGAAAUCUCCGGGCUCAACCCGGAAAGUGCGCUUGAAACUGCGUGACUAGAGUCUGGGAGAGGGAAUCGGAAUGCAGGGUGUAGCGGUGAAAUGCGUUGAUAUCCUGCAGAACACCGGAGACGAAGGCGGAUUCCUUGAACGGUACUGACGCUGAGGCGCGAAAGUCGGGGGAGCAAACAGGAUUAGAUACCCUGGUAGU